CGGGGCGUAGCGCAGUCUGGUAGCGCACCUGAAUGGGGUUCAGGGGGUCGGAGGUUCGAAUCCUCUCGCCCCGA
rnacentral:tRNA from 1 species